AGAGCGAACGCUGGCGGCAUGCUUAACACAUGCAAGUCGCACGGGCAGGGGCAACCCUGUCAGUGGCGGACGGGUGAGUAACGCGUAGGUAUCUAUCCUUGGGUGGGGGACAACCGUGGGAAACUACGGCUAAUACCGCAUGAUGACUGAGGUCCAAAGCCCGCGAGGGUGCCUGGGGAGGAGCCUGCGUACGAUUAGCUAGUUGGUGGGUAAAGGCCUACCAAGGCGAUGAUCGUUAGCUGGUCUGAGAGGAUGAUCAGCCACAUUGGGACUGAGACACGGCCCAAAACUCCUACGGGAGGCAGCAGUGGGGAAUAUUGGACAAUGGGCGCAAGCCUGAUCCAGCAAUGCCGCGUGUGUGAAGAAGGUCUUCGGAUUGUAAAGCACUUUCGACGGGGACGAUGAUGACGGUACCCGUAGAACGAAGCCCCGGCUAACUUCGUGCCAGCAGCCGC
rnacentral:rRNA from 1 species